rnacentral:rRNA from 1 species
UGGGGAAUCUUGCACAAUGGGCGCAAGCCUGAUGCAGCCAUGCCGCGUGUAUGAAGAAGGCCUUCGGGCUGUACAGUACUUUCAGCGGGGAGGAAGGGAGUAAAGUUACUACCUUUGCUCAUUGACGUUACCCGCAGAAGAAGCACCGGCUAACUCCGUGCCAGCAGCCGCGGUAAUACGGAGGGUGCAAGCGUUAAUCGGAAUUACUGGGCGUAAAGCGCCCGCAGGCGGGUUGUUAAGUCAGAUGUGAAAUCCUCGGGCUCAACCUGGGAACUGCAUCUGAUACUGGCAAGCGUGAGUCUGGUAGGGGGGGGUAGAAGUCCAGGUGUAGCGGUGAAAUGCGUAGAGAUCUAGAGGAAUGCCGGUAGGGAAGGCGGGCGCCUGGACGAAGACUGACGCUCAGGUGCGAAAGCGUGGGGAGCAAACAGG